GGGAUAACACCUGGAAACAGAUGCUAAUACCGGAUAACAACACUAGACGCAUGUCUAGAGUUUGAAAGAUGGUUCUGCUAUCACUCUUGGAUGGACCUGCGGUGCAUUAGCUAGUUGGUAAGGUAACGGCUUACCAAGGCAAUGUUGCAUAGCCGAGUUGAGGGACUGAUCGGCCACAUUUGGACUGAGACACGGCCCAAACUCCUACGGGAGGCAGCAGUAGGGAAUCUUCCACAAUGGACGAAAGUCUGAUGGAGCAACGCCGCGUGAGUGAAGAAGGGUUUCGGCUCGUAAAGCUCUGUUGGUAGUGAAGAAAGAUAGAGGUAGUAACUGGCCUUUAUUUGACGGUAAUUACUUAGAAAGUCACGGCUAACUACGUGCCAGCAGCCGCGGUAAUACGUAGGUGGCAAGCGUUGUCCGGAUUUAUUGGGCGUAAAGCGAGUGCAGGCGGUUCAAUAAGUCUGAUGUGAAAGCCUUCGGCUCAACCGGAGAAUUGCAUCAGAAACUGUUGAACUUGAGUGCAGAAGAGGAGAGUGGAACUCCAUGUGUAGCGGUGGAAUGCGUAGAUAUAUGGAAGAACACCAGUGGCGAAGGCGGCUCUCUGGUCUGCAACUGACGCUGAGGCUCGAAAGCAUGGGUAGCGAACAGGAUUAGAUACCCUGGUAGUCCAUGCCGUAAACGAUGAGUGAUAAGUGUUGG
rnacentral:rRNA from 1 species